GGCCCUGGGGGAACCCCGAGCAGCGACGCCGCGUGAGCGAUGAAGGUUUUCGGAUCGUAAAGCUCUGUCGUAUGGGAAUAAAAAAAUGAAUGUACCAUACAAGAAAGGAUCGGCUAACUUCGUGCCAGCAGCCGCGGUAAGACGAGGGAUCCUAGCGUUGUUCGGAAUCAUUGGGCGUAAAGAGGGCGUAGGUGGCUAUUUAAGUCAGCUGUGAAAGCCUGGGGCUCAACCCCAGAAGUGCAGUUGAUACUAUUUAGCUUGGGUGUGGAAAAGGUAAUUAGAAUUCCUGGUGUAGUGGUGAAAUACGUAGAUAUCAGGAGGAAUGCCGGUUGCGAAGGCGGAUUACUAGUCCAACACUGACACUGAGGCCCGAAA
rnacentral:rRNA from 1 species